UGGCGGACGGGUGAGUAACGCGUGGGUAACCUGCCUCAUACAGGGGGAUAACAGUUAGAAAUGACUGCUAAUACCGCAUAAGACCACAGCACCGCAUGGUGCAGGGGUAAAAACUCCGGUGGUAUGAGAUGGACCCGCGUCUGAUUAGGUAGUUGGUGGGGUAACGGCCUACCAAGCCGACGAUCAGUAGCCGACCUGAGAGGUUGGCCGGCCACAUUGGGACUGAGACACGGCCCAG
rnacentral:rRNA from 1 species